rnacentral:rRNA from 1 species
CCUACGGGGGGCAGCAGUGGGGAAUAUUGGACAAUGGGGGGAACCCUGAUCCAGCGACGCCGCGUGAGUGAAGAAGUAUUUCGGUAUGUAAAGCUCUAUCAGCAGGGAAGAAAAUGACGGUACCUGACUAAGAAGCGCCGGCUAAAUACGUGCCAGCAGCCGCGGUAAGACGGAGGGGGCAAGCGGUAUCCGGAUUGACUGGGUGUAAAGGGAGCGUAGACGGUGCAGCAAGUCUGAUGUGAAAGGUCGGGGCACAACCCCGGGACUGCAUUGGAAACUGUUGAACUGGAGUACAGGAGAGGUAAGCGGAAUUCCUAGUGUAGCGGUGAAAUGCGUAGAUAUUAGGAGGAACACCAGUGGCGAAGGCAGCUUACUGGACUGUAACUGACGUUGAGGCUCGAAAGCGUGGGGAGCGAACAGGAUUAGAUACCCGGGUAGUC